GGCGCGUUCUUCUAACGGUUAGGAAACCUGAUUCUCAAUCAAGUAAUAGGGGUUCGAUUCCCCUACGCGCUA
rnacentral:tRNA from 1 species